UUUAGCGAAUAUUCCUAAUAA
rnacentral:piRNA from 1 species